AACGUAGGACGCAAGCGUUAUCCGGAAUCACUGGGCGUAAAGCGCACGUAGGCGGAUCUUUAAGUCAGGGGUGAAAUCCCGGAGCUCAACUCCGGAACUGCCUUUGAUACUGAGGGUCUUGAGUCCGGGAGAGGUGAGUGGAACUGCGAGUGUAGAGGUGAAGUUCGUAGAUAUUCGCAAGAACACCAGUGGCGAAGGCGGCUCACUGGCCCGGUACUGACGCUGAGGUGCGAAAGCGUGGGGAGCAAACAGG
rnacentral:rRNA from 1 species